rnacentral:tRNA from 1 species
GUGGGCGUAGCUCAGUCGGUAGAGCACCGGAUUGUGGCUCCGGAGGUCGCGGGUUCAAUCCCCGUCGCUCACCCCA